ACAGAGGUGCCGAGCGUUAGGCGGAAUCACUGGGCUUAAAGCGUGUGUAGGCGGAUUUGUAAGUACCUUGUGAAAUCCCACGGCUUAACCGUGGAACUGCUUGGUAUACUGCUUAUCUUGGGCCACUUAGGGGUUACCGGAACAAACGGUGGAGCGGUGAAAUGCGUAGAGAUGUGGAGGAACACCAGUGGCGAAGGCGACUUUCUGGUCUGUAACUGACGCUGAGGCGCGAAAGCGUGGGGAGCAAACAGGA
rnacentral:rRNA from 1 species